CCCGGUAAAACGGGACGGCCCGCCAGAGGACCCACAAACUCUGUUUCUAUAUGUAACUUCUGAGUAAAACCAUAAAUAAAUCAAAACUUUCAACAACGGAUCUCUUGGUUCUGGCAUCGAUGAAGAACGCAGCAAAAUGCGAUAAGUAAUGUGAAUUGCAGAAUUCAGUGAAUCAUCGAAUCUUUGAACGCACAUUGCGCCCGCCAGUAUUCUGGCGGGCAUGCCUGUUCGAGCGUCAUUUCAACCCUCAAGCCCAGCUUGGUGUUGGGACUCGCGAGUCAAAUCGCGUUCCCCAAAUUGAUUGGCGGUCACGUCGAGCUUCCAUAGCGUAGUAGUAAAACCCUCGUUACUGGUAAUCGUCGCGGCCACGCCGUUAAACCCCAACUUCUGAAUGUUGACCUCGGAUCAGGUAGGAAUACCCGCUGAACUUAAGCAUAUCAAUAAGCGGAGGA
rnacentral:rRNA from 1 species